rnacentral:rRNA from 1 species
UCAAGCUACAAAGGGCUCACGGAGGAUACCUAGGCACACAGAGGCGAUGAAGGACGUGGUUACCUGCGAUAAGUCUCGGGGAGUUGGAAGCACACUUUGAUCCGGGAAUUUCCGAAUGGGGCAACCCCUUGAACGACCAACUGAAUAUAUAGGUUGGUGCGAGCUAACCCAGCGAACUGAAACAUCUUAGUAGCUGGAGGAAGAGAAAGUAAAUAACGACUCCCUCAGUAGCGGCGAGCGAACGGGGAAUAGCCCAAACCGAUAGUCUUGACUAUCGGGGUUGUGGGACAGCAAUAUGGAUCAACAAUUCUAGAAGAAACGUUUGAAUGGCGUGCCAUAGAGGGUGAAAGCCCCGUAAUUGAAAGAUGAGUUGACCUAGCUGUAUCCCGAGUAGCACGGAGCACGUGGAAUUCCGUGUGAAUCUGCGAGGACCACCUCGUAAGGCUAAGUACUACUGUGUGACCGAUAGUGAAACAGUACCGCGAGGGAAAGGUGAAAAGAACCCCGGGAGGGGAGUGAAAUAGAACAUGAAACCGUGAGCUUACAAGCAAUGGGAGCCCGACUAAUCGGGUGACCGUGUGCCUGUUGAAGAAUGAGCCGGCGACUUAUAGGCACUGGCGGGUUAAACCGGAAAUGGUGGAGCCACAGCGAAAGCGAGUCUUAAUAGGGCGUUUGUCAGUGUUUAUAGACCCGAACCCUGGUGAUCUAACCAUGGCCAGGAUGAAGCUUGGGUGAUACCAAGUGGAGGUCCGAACCGACUGAAGUUGAAAAUUCAGCGGAUGAGCUGUGGUUAGGGGUGAAAUGCCAAUCGAACCAGGAGCUAGCUGGUUCUCCCCGAAAUACGUUGAGGCGUAGCGUCUAGUGCUCCAGCAGGGGGGUAAAGCAACCAUUUCGGUGCGGGCUGCGAAAGCGGUACCUAAUCGAUAUGAACUCUGAAUACCCUGUGUGUAACUAGGCAGUCAGACUGUGGGGGAUAAGCUCCAUAGUCAAGAGGGAAACAGCCCAGACCGCCAGCUAAGGUCCCAAAAUUAACGCUAAGUGAUAAAGGAGGUGGGAUUGCCCAGACAACCAGGAGGUUUGCCUAGAAGCAGCCAUCCUCAAAGGAGUGCGUAAUAGCUCACUGGUCGAGCGAUCCUGCGCCGAAAAUGAAUGGGGCUAAGCGUUAUACCGAAGCUGCGGAUAAAUUUAUUUAUGGUAGGGGAGCGUUCUAUGUUGGGUGAAGCGUUAGCGUAAGCGGACGUGGACGGCAUAGAAGUGAGAAUGUCGGCUUGAGUAGCGAAAACAUGGGUGAGAAUCCCAUGCCCCGAAACCCUAAGGGUUCCUCCGGCAGGCUCGUCCGCGGAGGGUUAGUCUGGACCUAAGGCGAGGCCGAAAGGCGUAGUCGAUGGAUAACAGGUCAAUAUUCCUGUACCAGUUAUGUUUUGGGAAGGGGGACGGAGAAGGCUAGCCAGGCCAGAUGUUGGUUACUGGUUCAAGCGUUCAAGGCUUUGAGAGAUGGAGAAAACAUCUUGAGCUAAGGCGUGAGUACGAGCUGCUACGGCAGCGAAGUUGGUGAUGUCAUGCUUCCAAGAAAAGCCCUAUACCCGUUAAGACAUAAAUGCCAGUACCCGAAACCGACACAGGUGGGGUGGUAGAGAAUACCGAGGGGCGCGAGAUAACUCUCUCUAAGGAACUCGGCAAAAUGGCCCCGUAACUUCGGGAGAAGGGGUGCCAGCGAGAGCUGGUCGCAGUGAAGAGGCGCAAGCGACUGUUUACCAAAAACACAGGUCUCCGCUAAGUCGCAAGACGAUGUAUGGGGGCUGACACCUGCCCAGUGCCGGAAGGUUAAGGAAGCUGGUUAGCUUUUAGCAAAGCUGGCGACUGAAGCCCCGGUGAACGGCGGCCGUAACUAUAACGGUCCUAAGGUAGCGAAAUUCCUUGUCGGGUAAGUUCCGACCCGCACGAAAGGUGUAACGAUUUGCGCGCUGUCUCGGAGAGAGGCUCGGCGAAAUAGAAUUGUCUGUGAAGAUGCGGACUACAUACACCCGGACAGAAAGACCCUAUGAAGCUUUACUGUAGUUUGAUAUUGUGCUCGGGCUCUAAUUGCGCAGAAUAGGUGGGAGACGUUGAAAUAGUACUUGUGGGUAUUAUUGAGUCAUCGGUGAGAUACCACUCUAUUAGAGCUAGGGUUCUAACGCUUACCCGUUAUCCGGGGAGCGGACAGUAUCUGAUGGGCAGUUUGACUGGGGCGGUCGCCUCCUAAAAGGUAACGGAGGCGCACAAAGGUUCCCUCAGGCUGGUUGGAAAUCAGUCGUUGAGUGCAAAAGCAGAAGGGAGCUUGACUGUGAGACCUACAAGUCGAACAGGGACGAAAGUCGGUUUUAGUGAUCCGACGGUUCUGCGUGGAAGGGCCGUCGCUCAACGGAUAAAAGUUACUCUAGGGAUAACAGGCUGAUCUCCCCCAAGAGUUCACAUCGACGGGGAGGUUUGGCACCUCGAUGUCGGCUCAUCGCAACCUGGGGCUGAAGUCGGUCCCAAGGGUUGGGCUGUUCGCCCAUUAAAGCGGUACGCGAGCUGGGUUCAGAACGUCGUGAGACAGUUCGGUCCAUAUCCGGUGUAUGCGCAGGAAUAUUGAGAGGAUUUCUCCCUAGUACGAGAGGACCGGGAGGAACGCACCUCUGGUGUGCCAGUUAUCGUGCCAACGGUAAAUGCUGGGUAGCCAUGUGCGGAGUGGAUAACCGCUGAAAGCAUCUAAGUGGGAAGCCCACCUCAAGAUGAGUAUUGCCAUGGCUUAAGCCAGUAAGGUCACGGGAAGAACACCCGUUGAUAGGCUCUACGUGGAAGCUUGGUAACAAGUGCAGCGGAGGAGUACUAAUAGACCGAGGGCUUGACCAA